rnacentral:rRNA from 1 species
UCGACCUGAGGUCAGGCAAGAACACC